AAAUGAAGUUUUGGAUACAUUUUUAGACAGGACAAUUGAAUUACGUUGAUAUAUAUUUUGGCAGGCAAAAUUUGGACUCAUUAAUAAAUGAUACAUGUAUUUAGAGUCUGGGGACAUAUGGUCUCAACUAUUAAAGUUUGCCAGUGUAAGGAAAAAAACGUAUCUAUUUUUCUUCAGCAUCAGUAUAUAAAACAAAACAGCGAAAAACGAUUACAGAACAGGUUGUAGCAUCCAAACAAUCUGAGUGUUCUUCGAGCCAGAUUUCUGUAACUUGGAAUAUCUUAGUGUGCGACCAGCUAUUUCUUUUUUUUACGGAAACAAUGAACGAGCAGGAUCAAGUACCAGAAAGAAGGGCAAGAAAGAUGAGGAGCAGGACUGUGAGCUUUCUUAAUUGGUCUCCCACCAUGCGUUGUUUCUUCCUUACCUUAGCGGCUUAGCCCUCACUUCACUUCAACCCCGACGAAUAUACAUAGCCUUGAUGCCCGAUUUUAUACAGUUGGGAAAAGCCACCCUUUUAAUAUUUCCUUCCAAAUCUGACGUUGUUCUCUCUGUUUUGUUAGGAAAGGACAGCCAUGCUUUGGCUAUCAUGACUAAAUAGUUAUGUUUCUGUUCCAGGCCUACGUCAUUCGGGGGGUAAUAAAAGCACUCAAAUCUGUGGGCUCCAUUUUAAAAAAAAAAAAAAAAA